AUCACUUAGAUGUUAUGUAUGCUAAAACUGAAACAAUACAGAGAAAAGUAGCAUGGACCCUGUGCAAAAUGACAUGCAAAAUCAUAAAGCAAUCACUUUUUUA